rfam:Camelus ferus unplaced genomic scaffold scaffold1278, whole genome shotgun sequence.
GAGGGUAUAGCUCAAGUGGUAGAGCAUAUGCAUAGCAUACACAAAGUCCUGGGUUCAAUCCCCAAUACCUCCU